AGAGUUUGAUCCUGGCUCAGGAUGAACGCUAGCGGCAGGCUUAACACAUGCAAGUCGAAGGGCAGCGAGGGGAGUGCUUGCACUCCCUGUCGGCGACUGGCGCACGGGUGAGUAACACGUAUGCAACCUGCCCUCCACAGGGGGACAACCUUCCGAAAGGGAGGCUAAUCCCGCGUAAAUCCCGCGGAGGCAUCUCCGUGGGAGGAAAACUCCGGUGGUGGAGGAUGGGCAUGCGGCGCAUUAGGCAGUCGGCGGGGUAACGGCCCACCGAACCGACGAUGCGUAGGGGUUCUGAGAGGAAGGUCCCCCACACUGGUACUGAGACACGGACCAGACUCCUACGGGAGGCAGCAGUGAGGAAUAUUGGUCAAUGGACGCGAGUCUGAACCAGCCAAGCCGCGUGAAGGAUUAAGGCCCUACGGGUCGUAAACUUCUUUUGUCAGGGAACAAAAGUGGGGACGAGUCCCCAUCUGCGUGUACCUGAAGAAAAAGCAUCGGCUAACUCCGUGCCAGCAGCCGCGGUAAUACGGAGGAUGCGAGCGUUAUCCGGAUUUAUUGGGUUUAAAGGGUGCGCAGGCGGGAUGUCAAGUCAGCGGUCAAAUCGAGGGGCUCAACCCCUUUCCGCCGUUGAAACUGGCGUCCUAGAGUGGGCGAGAAGUACGCGGAAUGCGUGGUGUAGCGGUGAAAUGCAUAGAUAUCACGCAGAACUCCGAUUGCGAAGGCAGCGUACCGGCGCCCAACUGACGCUCAUGCACGAGAGCGUGGGUAUCGAACAGGAUUAGAUACCCUGGUAGUCCACGCAGUAAACGAUGAAUACUAACUGUCCGGCCCGAUCGGGGGCUGGGUGGUACAGCGAAAGCGUUAAGUAUUCCACCUGGGGAGUACGCCGGCAACGGUGAAACUCAAAGGAAUUGACGGGGGCCCGCACAAGCGGAGGAACAUGUGGUUUAAUUCGAUGAUACGCGAGGAACCUUACUCGGGCUCAAACGACGGAUGAAUGUUUUUGAAAGGAGGCAGCCCUUCGGGGCAUCCGUCGAGGUGCUGCAUGGUUGUCGUCAGCUCGUGCCGUGAGGUGUCGGCUUAAGUGCCAUAACGAACGCAACCCCCAUCGCCAGUUACCAGCAAGUGAAGUUGGGGACUCUGGCGAGACUGCCGGCGCAAGCUGUGAGGAAGGCGGGGAUGACGUCAAAUCAGCACGGCCCUUACGUCCGGGGCGACACACGUGUUACAAUGGCAGGUACAGAGAGACGCUACCUGGCGACAGGGAGCAGAACUCGAAAGCCUGUCUCAGUUCGGAUCGGAGUCUGCAACCCGACUCCGUGAAGCUGGAUUCGCUAGUAAUCGCGCAUCAGCCAUGGCGCGGUGAAUACGUUCCCGGGCCUUGCACACACCAGCCCGUCA
rnacentral:rRNA from 1 species